GUAUAGGAUGGCUGUGUUGGGUUGGAAGGGGUCUUAUAGGUCCUAUAUGUAUGGGGUGGUUGUGGUUGGAUGGGUCCCGAAAGGUUAAAAAGCCUUUGGAUGGUGAUAUUGGUUGGGAAGGUCCUGGAAGGUCACAAAAGGGGAGGGGCGGUAGGGUCCUGGAAGGUCAAAGAGGUGUGGGAGGGUUGGGUCGGGUUGGAAGGGGUCUUCUGGAUCCUAUAUGUGUGGGGUGGUUGUGGUUGGAUGGGUCCUGAAAGGUUAAAAAGGCUUUGGAUGGUGAUAUUGGUUGGGAAGGUCCUGGAAGGUCACAAAGGGGAGGGGCAGGGAGGUCCUGGAAGGGGAAAGAGGUGUGGGAGGGUUGGGUUGGGUUUAUAGGGUCCUUAAAGAGGAGAGGGUCAAAGGAUGGUUGGGUUGGAUGGGUCCCGGAAGGUUAAAAAGGCUUUGGAUGGUGAUAUUGGU
ensembl:lncRNA